AUAAAAGGGGCCUUUGCCAUGUAAGCUGAGCUGCGUCGGGCAGGCAGGGACAGCAAGAUGGUGUCACAGAGGCAGGUCCUCAUAUCCUUGAUGCUGUGGGUCUCAGGUGCCUGUGGGGCGAUCACGAUGACGCAGUCCCCAGGCUCCCUGGCUGUGUCUCUGGGUCAGCGUGUCACCGUGAACUGCAGGGCCAGUCAGAGUGUUAGCAGCUACCUCGCCUGGUAUCAGCAGAAACCCGGGCAGCGUCCUAAGCUGCUCAUCUACAGUGCAUCCACCCGGGCAUCUGGAGUCCCCGACCGAUUCAGCGGCAGUGGGUCUGGGACAGAUUUCACCCUCACCAUCAGCAACCUCCAGGCUGAAGACGUGGCGACUUAUUACUGUCAGCAGUAUAGUAGCUCUCCUCCCACAGUGCUGCAGCCUCAUACACAAACCUCCUCCCCAGGGCCGUGGGGCAGGGAGGCUUCGCUGCACCUGCUGCUUCCUCCCUGCUCAGCCCUGAACACGCACGUUCUGUGUCUGCCUGAGAAGCCACCUCUCCUGCCUCCUCCUUACAGGGCUGUUUAA